GAGAUCAUUCCAAAUUACUAAUUAAUAACGUUUGUCUUAAUUCCUAUCUAGAACUGGACAACCUGGACAGCACGACCGUAUUAUUACAACCUGGACAGCACGACCGUAUAAUUAUAUUAUGGCUAUGUGAUUUAAUUUGGUUAGAGAUCAAUCCAAAAUACUAAUUAAUGACUUUGCUCUUUACAUUUUGCAGAUCUACUACCAAGCCCCUGAAAACGGAAACAGAGGACAAUAUCUACUACCAAGCCCCUGAAAACGGAAACAGAGGACAAUGUAAAUGGAGUGUAAAUAGAGUGAUGUGUUAAGAGUGAUGUGUUAAGCGUGAAUAAAAAAUGAAAAACAUUUCAUAUUGUAAU
rnacentral:lncRNA from 1 species